rnacentral:ncRNA from 1 species
UUGAGCUGUAUGACGGGAAACUGUCACGUACGGUUCUGAGGGGGGGAAGGGGCCGAAAGGCCCCUGACCUACCCGGU